UUAACACAUGCAAGUCGAACGAUGAAGCCCUUCGGGGUGGAUUAGUGGCGAACGGGUGAGUAACACGUGGGCAAUCUGCUCUUCACUCUGGGACAAGCCCUGGAAACGGGGUCUAAUACCGGAUAACACUCUGUCCCGCAUGGGACGGGGUUAAAAGCUCCGGCGGUGAAGGAUGAGCCCGCGGCCUAUCAGCUUGUUGGUGGGGUGAUGGCCUACCAAGGCGACGACAGGUAGCCGGCCUGAGAGGGCGACCGGCCACACUGGGACUGAGACACGGCCCAGACUCCUACGGGAGGCAGCAGUGGGGAAUAUUGCACAAUGGGCGAAAGCCUGAUGCAGCGACGCCGCGUGAGGGAUGACGGCCUUCGGGUUGUAAACCUCUUCCAGCAGGGAAGAAGCGAGAGUGACGGUACCUGCAGAAGAAGCGCCGGCUAACUACGUGCCAGCAGCCGCGGUAAUACGUAGGGCGCAAGCGUUGUCCGGAAUUAUUGGGCGUAAAGAGCUCGUAGGCGGCUUGUCACGUCGGAUGUGAAAGCCCGGGGCUUAACCCCGGGUCUGCAUUCGAUACGGGCUAGCUAGAGUGUGGUAGGGGAGAUCGGAAUUCCUGGUGUAGCGGUGAAAUGCGCAGAUAUCAGGAGGAACACCGGUGGCGAAGGCGGAUCUCUGGGCCAUUACUGGCGCUGAGGAGCGAAAGCGUGGGGAGCGAACAGGAUUAGAUACCCUGGUAGUCCACGCCGUAAACGUUGGGAACUAGGUGUUGGCGACAUUCCACGUCGUCGGUGCCGCAGCUAACGCAUUAAGUUCCCCGCCUGGGGAGUACGGCCGCAAGGCUAAAACUCAGAGGAAUUGACGGGGGCCCGCACAAGCAGCGGAGCAUGUGGCUUAAUUCGACGCAACGCGAAGAACCUUACCAAGGCUUGACAUAUACCGGAAAGCAUCAGAGAUGGUGCCCCCCUUGUGGUCGGUAUACAGGUGGUGCAUGGCUGUCGUCAGCUCGUGUCGUGAGAUGUUGGGUUAAGUCCCGCAACGAGCGCAACCCUUGUUCUGUGUUGCCAGCAUGCCCUUCGGGGUGAUGGGGACUCACAGGAGACUGCCGGGGUCAACUCGGAGGAAGGUGGGGACGACGUCAAGUCAUCAUGCCCCUUAUGUCUUGGGCUGCACACGUGCUACAAUGGCCAGUACAAUGAGCUGCGAUGCCGC
rnacentral:rRNA from 1 species